AUGUUCCUCUCCAUUCCCUCAGUUUGCACAGGAGCUGCUAUUUUGUGUCUUGCUUAUUACAGUGACGGAGACGUCAGUAUACGGAAUUUCCAGUUCCACAUUUUGGCACACUUCAGAUGGUUUCCUGAUCUACUGGUCUCUUCUGCUCACAUUUGGACAAUGCAUCAAAACAUUUCCCUUUUUGGAAAAUAUCUGAUGCUGGCAGCAGACGCCAAUCCCAUUACCGCAGGAGCUCAUUGUCACCCUAGCUACUUUCACUUCCUGAAGUAGGACAGCUGCGGCUCACAUAAACAAAUAUGUUGGGAGAUCAGGACCAUGGCAGAGAAACAUGACACAUCAAGCAGCUGCAAGCAUUAGUGCCAAGCAAUAAACCAUCUGAGUACCGCUCA
rnacentral:lncRNA from 1 species